AAUAUAGUUAAAGUAUACAUCAAUAUAUUUUAUAACUUUUUUCUGACAUUUAUUGAUCAAAAUACAGUCUUUGUAAAUGGAUUUCCAAAAGUAGAAAUGGUUACAAAUAAUAACAUUUUACUAAAACUCUCCUGUCUCUGUGUCAGUUUAAUGGUGUCAUCAUUUCAGUUUGGGUCUGUUGUGUUGAGGGUUUGGUAGGUGGAGUCUUGGGUUGUUGAGUUGAGGGUUUGGUAGGUGGAGUCUUGGGUUGUUGUAUUGAGGGUUUGGUAGGUGGAGUCUUGGGUUGAUGUGUUGAGGGUUUGGCAGGUGGAGUCUUGGGUUGUUGUGUUGAGGGUUUGGCAGGUGGAGUCUUGGGUUGAUGUGUUGAGGGUUUUGUAGGUGGAGUCUUGGGUUGUUGUAUUGAGGGUUUGGUAGGUGGAGUCUUGGGUUGUUGUGUUGAGGGUUUGGUAGGUGGAGUCUUGGGUUGCUGUGUUGAGGGUUUGGUAGGUGGAGUCUUGGGUUGUUGUGUUGAGGGUUUGGUAGGUGGAGUCUUGGGUUGCUGUGUUGAGGGUUUGGUAGGUGGAGUCUUGGGUUGCUAUGUUGAGGGUUUGGUAGGUGGAGUCUUGGGUUGCUAUGUUGAGGGUUUGGUAGGAGGAGUCUUGGGUUGUUGUGUCUGGAUUGGUGACUGGCCCUGUGGAACACAACAUAUAAAUCAUGUGUGUGUACGUGCAGUGGUGUGGUAGUGGUGUAGUAGUGUAGUGGUGUAGUAGUGUAGUAGUGUAGUGCUGUAGUAGUGUAGUAGAGGUGUAGUAGAGGUGUAGUGGUGUAGUAGUGUAGUGGUGUAGUAGUGUAGUAGUGUAGUGGUGUAGUAGUGUAGUGGUGUAGUAGUGUAGUAGUGUAGUAGUGUAGUAGUGUAGUAGUGUAGUAGUGUAGUGGUGUAGUAGUGUAGUGGUGUAGUAGUGGUGUAGUAGUGUAGUAGUGUAGUUGUGCCUGGAGCAGUGGGUAUACUCUAAUUUUGCCCAAAAUGUCCCAAACGGCCCACCUGAAUGACCUAAAAUUAUACAUCUUCCACAGUCAGGUAAACCCAAGCUGUACUGUGCUGGCCUGAAUAUUUUCUUCAUGCUAACAGUUCUAGCAGGAGUAUCCAGGCCAAUCUGGGCUUGGCUUGGCAUGGCUGAGUGUCAGCUUAG
ensembl:lncRNA